UACCUUGAGUGCAAAGGGUAGAACUAGGAUCAUAUUCUGGGCUUGAGGGUAGUACCAUCUGCUGGUGUAUACACUGUGUAUGUUUUUGGGUAGAUGGGAUACUAUUCUUGUAUGCAUAGGUUGGCUCUUACCUUUAGCAUUCUCCUAAAGCUCAGUCCAUUUCUUUUGAGAGUCUCCUGUUACUAAACUUGAACCACCAGAAAGGGACCAUCUUUGUCUCCUGACCUUCACCUUAGCCAAAUGAGUUCAUUGAUGAUGCAUAGCUUGAUUCACGUUCCUAAACUAAUGAAUGUUAAAGGGAUUGGUAGAUUUGAAAGCACGUGUAGGUCGAGUAUAAGAGUGGGAUUGAACUAUAAUAAGGCAUGGCUAACGUUUUUGAGUAGAGUUCGAUAAUAUCGCAUCCUAGAACUGCCAACUUGGACAUUGAUUCUAUCUGAUUUAUCUGAUGCUUUGGUUCUGAGUCCCCAUCUUCAAACCUCUCCUUCAGCUUAUGUCUACUUGUUUGCUUGAGGGCAAGCAAAGACUAAGUUUGGGGGAGUUGAUAUGUCUAUAAUUUGCAUGUUUUACACAUCCUUUUAUCACUAUUUUGAGUCUAGUUUCAU
rnacentral:sRNA from 1 species